CGAACGGUUAGCCAUCCAUACGAUUGUUACCAUUCGUAUGAUUCCCCUCGUUUAGGGGAAUCUAUCUACCGAACGCCGGGGUGUUCGUGUGUUAGCUUCGUAUUGUCGGAGCACGCUGGAGGUCUUAGCGGUGCUUGGUUAGUCGAAUGCCCGGUUUGAGUUCCAGGCGUUCGACAACCAAGUACCGCUGUUCGUGCGUAAGAUGGCCGCCGCCAUGUGUUCGGUAGGCGAAAUGGCG